GGACGCCGGCGGAGAGGGUCUCCCUGCAUCUGUUGCUGCUGUGACGGCGGCCGCCUAGUCUCUCGGGCUGCGAGAACACCAGGUCCAAGGCUUUGGGUUGGGAAGGAAAAAAGAAGGUCUCUGACUUUCUUCAUGAAAGAGGAAACAGUGAUAACCAUGGAAAUCGUGCUCCACUGAAGUCUGAGAACCUGGGAUCAAAUCCAGGCUUUGCAAUUUAAAACGUGUAUGAGGCUUUGUUGUUGCUGCUGCUUACUAGGACCUAAAUUCACGAAAGCUCCAACUCCCCGGGCUCACGGGGUUAGAAAUAAGGGAGUAACCAGAAAAGAGAACCAGUCAGAGGGAGAAUCAAGCUUCCCUGGCCCGUAGUCGGUGCGCCCUCUGGCGGAGGCAUCCCGCCAGCAAAUCUCUGGCCGAAGAAUAGUUCUGGGAGACACUUAGAUGGCACGUUGGGGGCUGGCAGAGACUGCUGGUUAGUAUCCUCUGCUAGAGUAGGGAAGUGAAGAGGAAAGACAUUUGUUCCCAGAACCUGGAGGAGGCCCCGGGAGAGAAAGUGAUGGCCACCACCGGGGGCAGAUCUCGGGAGAAGGUGUCGGGGAGAAGAUGCUGGUGACUUCAGCUCCACGGACCCAGAACAUGAGUCACGCAGGCAACUGGAUCAUAGGCCAAAAAGAGGCGGAGCCAGAAUGGAUCUUAGAGGUCAGAGAAUCAUAGAUUUAGAGCUGAAGAGGACCUCUGUGGUCAUUUAAUCCACUUCUUUUAUUUUACACGGGAAGAUGCUGUGAUUCAGGGAGGUGAAGCAAUUUUCUAAAGGUUACAUUACUUAGGAAGUGACAAGACUGAACCUGGGACCCAGAUCUCCAGGCUUUCAACUCAGUAUUCUUUUCAUUUCAUGUCGAAUAUGGAAGGGGGAAGUAGGGAACAUGUCCAUCCCCUAUUACCCAAAUCUGUCAAUUCCAGCCCUGGAAUCUGGACUUCUGCAAGUCAAGAAAUUGGGAACUUAGACGAAUCCAUUCAAUUUAGGAUCCUGAUGAAAACAAAUGUAUAAACACCCCACUACAUUUCCUGUUUCUUUAACUAUGCCAUUGGAAGUACAUGAAAAACGAUUUCCUAGGGGGGGCAGCUAGGUGGCGCAGUGAAUAGAGCACCGGCCCUGGAG